rnacentral:rRNA from 1 species
GACGAACCGUGCGAACGUUAUUCGGAAUCACUGGGCUUAAAGGGCGCGUAGGCGGGCGGUCAAGUCAGGGGUGAAAUCGUUCGGCCCAACCGGACAAGGGCCCCUGAUACUGACUGUCUCGAGGGAGGUAGGGGUCGAUGGAACUUCCGGUGGAGCGGUGAAAUGCGUAGAUAUCGGAAGGAACGCCGGUGGCGAAAGCGAUCGACUGGACCUCUUCUGACGCUGAGGCGCGAAAGCCAGGGGAGCAAACGGG